rnacentral:rRNA from 1 species
GAUGAACGCUAGCUACAGGCUUAACACAUGCAAGUCGAGGGGCAGCAUGGUCUUAGCUUGCUAAGGCCGAUGGCGACCGGCGCACGGGUGAGUAAACACGUAUCCAACCUGCCGUCUACUCUUGGACAGCCUUCUGAAAGGAAGAUUAAUACAAGAUGGCAUCAUGAGUCCGCAUGUUCACAUGAUUAAAGGUAUUCCGGUAGACGAUGGGGAUGCGUUCCAUUAGAUAGUAGGCGGGGUAACGGCCCACCUAGUCUUCGAUGGAUAGGGGUUCUGAGAGGAAGGUCCCCCACAUUGGAACUGAGACACGGACCAAACUCCUACGGGAGGCAGCAGUGAGGAAUAUUGGUCAAAUGGACGCAAAGUCUGAACCAGCCAAUGCCGCGUGCAGGAAGACGGCUCUAUGAGUUGUAAACUGCUUUUGUAUGAGGGUAAAAUCGGGUACGUGUACCUGACUGAAAGUAAUCAUACGAAUAA